GACUGCUACUGUGACAAUAACUGUCCAAAGGAACUUACACUCUCCAGCCUUCCAGUCGACAACAUACACACAGACCAUUGCUGAGAACUUCCCUCUGGCCACGUCCGUGAUUAGGGUGGAGGCCAAAGACAAUGAUCUCUUGACUCCUCACAAUCAGCUGACUUAUGUUAUCCUUGGAGAUGAGAACACCAUCAGCUACUUCGUGAUCAGUGAUACCGGUGUCAUAACACUCAAACGAUCCCUCACCGACAGUCAGACCAACACCUUCCAGAUUACUGUGUCGGUCAAAGACCAUGGUUUGCCGAAUCCCCGAACUGCCGUUGCAAACGCUGUUGUCACAGUGAUUGUCUUGAGAAAUGAAAAUCCAC